rnacentral:rRNA from 1 species
GUGGCGAACGGGUGAGUAACACGUGAGCAAUCUGCCCUUGACUCUGGGAUAACUGCGGGAAACUGUAGCUAAUACCGGAUACUUUCCUCGCUGGGCAUCCAGCGGGGAAGAAAGAAUUUCGGUCAAGGAUGAGCUCGCGGCCUAUCAGCUAGUUGGUGAGGUAAUGGCUCACCAAGGCGACGACGGGUAGCCGGCCUGAGAGGGUGACCGGCCACACUGGAACUGAGACACGGUCCAGACUCCUACGGGAGGCAGCAGUGGGGAAUAUUGCACAAUGGGCGAAAGCCUGAUGCAGCAACGCCGCGUGAGGGAUGAAGGCCUUCGGGUUGUAAACCUCUUUUAGCAGGGAAGAAGCGAAAGUGACGGUACCUGCAGAAAAAGCACCGGCUAACUACGUGCCAGCAGCCGCGGUAAUACGUAGGGUGCAAGCGUUGUCCGGAAUUAUUGGGCGUAAAGAGCUCGUAGGCGGUUUGUCACGUCUGCUGUGAAAAUCCGAGGCUCAACCUCGGACUUGUAGUGGGUACGGGCAGGCUAGAGUGCGGUAGGGGAGAAGGGAAUUCCUGGUGUAGCGGUGGAAUGCGCAGAUAUCAGGAGGAACACCAAUGGCGAAGGCACUUCUCUGGGCCGUAACUGACGCUGAGGAGCGAAAGCGUGGGGAGCGAACAGGAUUAGAUACCCUGGUAGUCCAC